UGUAGUGCGUGCUAAUUUCUGUGGUGUGCAUACUUUCAUGGCAGCCAACAGUGGGCCACCAGGCAUUGACUGUGGAGCAAGGAAGAGAGCUAGCGUUAGCACACCACCUGAUCCAUCACUUCUGUGGCCAACUAAAUGAUGACGUCUGUCUGUCAAUAUUCCCGGAAUGCCAGCAGCAGCGGCAACAAGGGCCCUGGAAAUCUCUACUGACUGACCCUGUACAUUCAGCAGCUGCAAUCACCUAUAUAGACAUAAGUACCCAACAGCUCACUUCUGGGGGUCACCACCUGCAGCCUGGACCUCAGAGCUGCCUUUGGGACAGAAACCUCUGGAGAACCCGAAGCGGUAGGCAUCAAGCCCACAGAUCCUCACCUACAGUGGAAGCAUUGUCUCCCCAAGAACCCACUGCGCACAGGCGCUUCCUCCUCCUGCCCUGCAGA